CGAUUAAUGUCUGGGAGACUGCCUGAUGGAGGGGGAUAACUACUGGAAACGGUAGCUAAUACCGCAUAACGUCGCAAGACCAAAGAGGGGGACCUUCGGGCCUCUUGCCAUCAGAUGUGCCCAGAUGGGAUUAGCUAGUAGGUGGGGUAAUGGCUCACCUAGGCGACGAGCCCUAGCUGGUCUGAGAGGAUGACCAGCCACACUGGAACUGAGACACGGUCCAGACUCCUACGGGAGGCAGCAGUGGGGAAUAUUGCACAAUGGGCGCAAGCCUGAUGCAGCCAUGCCGCGUGUGUGAAGAAGGCCUUCGGGUUGUAAAGCACUUUCAGCGAGGAGGAAGGUGGUGAGCUUAAUACGCUCAUCAAUUGACGUUACUCGCAGAAGAAGCACCGGCUAACUCCGUGCCAGCAGCCGCGGUAAUACGGAGGGUGCAAGCGUUAAUCGGAAUUACUGGGCGUAAAGCGCACGCAGGCGGUUUGUUAAGUCAGAUGUGAAAUCCCCGGG
rnacentral:rRNA from 1 species